rnacentral:rRNA from 1 species
AUUGAACGCUGGCGGAAUGCUUUACACAUGCAAGUCGAACGGCAGCACGGGGGCAACCCUGGUGGCGAGUGGCGAACGGGUGAGUAAUGUAUCGGAACGUGCCCAGUCGUGGGGGAUAACGUAGUGAAAAUUACGCUAAUACCGCAUACGAUCUACGGAUGAAAGCGGGGGAUCGCAAGACCUCGCGCGAUUUGAGCGGCCGAUAUCAGAUUAGGUAGUUGGUGGGGUAAAGGCUCACCAAGCCAACGAUCUGUAGCUGGUCUGAGAGGACGACCAGCCACACUGGAACUGAGACACGGUCCAGACUCCUACGGGAGGCAGCAGUGGGGAAUUUUGGACAGUGGGCGAAAGCCUGAUCCAGCCAUUCCGCGUGCAGGAUGAAGGCCUUCGGGUUGUAAACUGCUUUUGUACGGAGCGAAAAGGCUCUCUCUAAUACAGGGGGCUCAUGACGGUACCGUAAGAAUAAGCACCGGCUAACUACGUGCCAGCCGCCGCAGUAAAAC